GAUGGUUUUAUUGGUAGAUACAUGCAUCAAAACUCACCAGAUUGUACAAUUUAAAAAUGUGCAGUUUAGGGCUGGGGCUCAGUGGUAGCCCACUUGCCUGGCAUGUGUGAGGAACUGGAUUUGGUUCUCAGCACCACAUAUAAAUAAAUAAAAUAAAGGUCUAUCAACAACAACAAAUGUGCAGUUUAGGACUGGGGCUGUAGCUCAGUGGUACAGCCUUGCACAUGUGAGGCACUGCAUUCAAACCUCAGCACCACAUAAAAAUAAAGAGAUUGUGUCCAUCUACAACUAAAAAAAUAUUUUUUUUAAAAAAAUUGCAGUUUAUCAGGGCAUGGUUGUGCACACCUAUAAUCCCAGCAUCUGGGGAGGCUGAGAUAGGAGGAUUGGGAGUUCAAAGCCAGCCUCAGCAAAAGUGAGGUGUUAAGCAACUCAAUGAUAAAUAAAAUAUAAAAAAAUAGGGCUGGGGAUGUGGCUCAGUGGUUGAGUGUCCCUGAGUUAAACCCCCAGUAUCCCUCCCAAGAUAAAUAAAAAUGUGCAGUUUAGAGGAAAUCAAUCACUCUUCAAUAAAAUUAUAAAAGAAAAAAUAUAAAAAGAUUUUUUUAAAAAAAAUCCACACAAUAUUAGCCCCAGUUUCAAAUGCCAAAUAUAAAGGAUGUCUAGAUACAGAGUUAGGUACCUAAAAAGGAGUAUUAAUUACCAUACCAGAACAGCUCAUCUCUAAGCCUUGGUUUUUGCCAUAGAAGAGGUUAAACAUAGACUCCAACUUUCCUUCAAACUACUAACCAGAAAAUGUUUUAUGUAUCCUUUUAUGAAAAAUUGAGUCAUCAUUACCAGAACCUUCUGUAUUAAUGAGGUUUCUCCAAAAAAAUAGAAACAAUAGGAAUGUUUAUGUACAUAGAUUUUUUUAUAAGCAAAUGGCUCACAUGAUUAUGGAUGAUAGCAAGUCCCAACUUUGCAGGGUGACUCAUUAGCUGGAGACCUUGGCAAGAGCUGAUGUUGAAGUCUGAAGGCCAGCUGCUGGCAGAAUUCCUUCUUGCUCAAGAAGGAGGUCAGUCUUUUGUUCUAUUCAGGCCUUCAACUGAUUGAAUGUGUAUCGCCACCCACAUUAUGAAGGGCAAUCUGCUGUACUGAUUUAAAUGUUAAUCUCAGCCAAAAAACAUUAAAAAAUAUCCAGAAUUACUGGAGCGAAUAUCUUGGUACCAUGGUCCCAUCAGGUUGAGACAAAGUUAAUUAUCACAUCUCAACACACACUCUCCCUUUUAAGGAAGGCUAUGAGAUUUAGCUUAUUAGUAAACCAGUUAUCUACCUCUGACAUGUGUCUGUUCCACCUCUGUCUAUUAUUCAGACUCUUAGGCCACAGGUAUAGCUCCAGAACAGGUUGACUAUUCCUUCUCUAUUCAAGUUUAGCUUUUAGAUCAACUAAUGGAUCCAGGACUAUAGCUCUUCCUCUAGAUAGGAAACAGAUACAUUUUCCUUUAGUUGUUUCAUUCGUUUGAAAACAUUUAUGAAACAAUAUAUCCAGAACAACCGGACUGGUGCUUCAGACACACAGCUAGGUAACUAUUGGUUGUUAUUAAGUGUUCCUGAUCUCACAGAAUUGUCAGCUAAAAGGGGGUUUAGUUAAUGCUCUGGUUUUAAGAAACAGUAAACAAUUAUACUUUUUUUAAAAAAAAUUCAUGUAAUCCUAGCAUCUUGAAAGGCUGAGGCAGUAAGAUCAUAAGUUCAAGGCCAGCCUCAACAAUUUAGCAAGACCCGACUCCAAAUAAAAAAAUUAAAAGAGCGAGGGAUGCAGUUCAUGGUAAAGCACCUUAGGGUUCAACAAGAUUUGUCAGGCAUCAAACACUUCAGUAAUAUUAUGGAUCUCUCUAUUCCAAAAAUCCUAUCACAAAAAUAUUAAAUUCACUUUAAAAUAUGGCCAAACACUUCACAAAGCUUUCACACAAUAGUGAUUUAAUUAAGCUGCUACUCCAUUUUCUGUUCAAUUUUGUUGUACCUGUCAUUCAGCGGGAAUAAUUUAGCAAAACCAAGCUUGGUUUGAAUUGCUCUGAAAAAGACAAUUCAAUGAAAUGCUACCUUUUCCCUAAAUUACAACACAAUUCAACUAAACUACCAUUCUCCUGGGUUUUACUUCAUGGAAUUGAUAUUAGAAAUUUUAUUAAAUGUUAAAAAAAACACCAAUAUGUAUGCUAUUAAAAGUUCCUUAUUAGAAUGUGUAUUUUUAUAAUUAAUAAAUUAAAUUUAAAUCUGAAAUGAAUGGGAACUCGCAAAAUUUUACUUGGAUUUUGAGGAUGAAAUGGCUUAUACUUAUCAUUCAUGACUUGAAAAUACAUCUAAUUAUAGAGAGCAAGCAAAUAUCCACAAAUAAAACCUGUUAUCUCUUGAAAACAAUACUUGAAUCCUGCAAUUCUGGCAGUGGAAAUUCCUCAUGGUGGGGAAGGUAGCUGAACUGUAACUGGAAUAGUUUUUAGGUCCACCAUUCAUUUUGGGGUUGCUACAACAAUGUUAUUAUUAUUUUUUUUUUUU
rnacentral:lncRNA from 1 species